rnacentral:rRNA from 1 species
CUGAAAACCUAGCUUACCCAAUUCCUAUGAAUAUACCACCUUAACAUAAACUAAAUAAAACAUUUUGUACAUUUAGUAAAGGCGAUUAAAAAAUGUCUCAAAGCUAUAGAAACUAGUACCGCAAGGGAAAAGUGAAAUAUUAGUGAAAAACCUCAAGCACAAAAAAGUAGAGCUAUAACCUCGUACCUUUUGCAUCAUGGUCUAACUAGUUCAACCAAGCAAAAUGAAUUUUAAGUUUGACUUCCCGAAACUAAGUGAGCUACUUAAAAACAGCCCUCCGGGCCAACCCGUCUCUGUUGCAAAAGAGUGGGAAGAUUUUUAAGUAGAGGUGAUAGACCUACCGAACCUAGAGAUAGCUGGUUAUUCAGGAAAAGGAUUUAAGUCCUACCUUAAGUUUACAGUAUA